GUGCUCAACUUGGCAACACAUAUACUAAAAUUUGAAUGAUACAGAGGAGAUGAUCAUGGUCCCUGUGCAAGGAUGAUAUGCAAAUUCAUGAAGCUUUCCAUAUUUUU